rnacentral:rRNA from 1 species
GGUUAAGCGACUAAGCGUACACGGUGGAUGCCCUGGCAGUCAGAGGCGAUGAAGGACGUGCUAAUCUGCGAAAAGCGUCGGUAAGGUGAUAUGAACCGUUAUAACCGGCGAUGUCCGAAUGGGGAAACCCAGUGUGAUUCGUCACACUAUCGUUAACUGAAUACAUAGGUUAACGAGGCGAACCGGGGGAACUGAAACAUCUAAGUACCCCGAGGAAAAGAAAUCAACCGAGAUUCCCCCAGUAGCGGCGAGCGAACGGGGAGCAGCCCAGAGUCUGAAUCAGCUUGUGUGUUAGUGGAACGGUCUGGAAAGUCCGACGGUACAGGGUGAUAGUCCCGUACACCAAAAUGCACAGGUUGUGAACUCGAAGAGUAGGGCGGGACACGUGGUAUCCUGUCUGAAUAUGGGGGGACCAUCCUCCAAGGCUAAAUACUCCUGACUGACCGAUAGUGAACCAGUACCGUGAGGGAAAGGCGAAAAGAACCCCGGCGAGGGGAGUGAAAAAGAACCUGAAACCGUGUACGUACAAGCAGUGGGAGCACCUUCGGGUGUGACUGCGUACCUUUUGUAUAAUGGGUCAGCGACUUAUAUUCUGUAGCAAGGUUAACCGUAUAGGGGAGCCGCAGGGAAACCGAGUCUUAACUGGGCGUUAAGUUGCAGGGUAUAGACCCGAAACCCGGUGAUCUAGCCAUGGGCAGGUUGAAGGUUGGGUAACACUAACUGGAGGACCGAACCGACUAAUGUUGAAAAAUUAGCGGAUGACUUGUGGCUGGGGGUGAAAGGCCAAUCAAACCGGGAGAUAGCUGGUUCUCCCCGAAAGCUAUUUAGGUAGCGCCUCGUGAACUCAUCUUCGGGGGUAGAGCACUGUUUCGGCUAGGGGGUCAUCCCGACUUACCAACCCGAUGCAAACUACGAAUACCGAAGAAUGUUAUCACGGGAGACACACGGCGGGUGCUAACGUCCGUCGUGAAGAGGGAAACAACCCAGACCGCCAGCUAAGGUCCCAAAGUCAUGGUUAAGUGGGAAACGAUGUGGGAAGGCACAGACAGCCAGGAUGUUGGCUUAGAAGCAGCCAUCAUUUAAAGAAAGCGUAAUAGCUCACUGGUCGAGUCGGCCUGCGCGGAAGAUGUAACGGGGCUAAACCAUGCACCGAAGCUGCGGCAGCGACACUAUGUGUUGUUGGGUAGGGGAGCGUUCUGUAAGCCUGCGAAGGUGUGCUGUGAGGCAUGCUGGAGGUAUCAGAAGUGCGAAUGCUGACAUAAGUAACGAUAAAGCGGGUGAAAAGCCCGCUCGCCGGAAGACCAAGGGUUCCUGUCCAACGUUAAUCGGGGCAGGGUGAGUCGACCCCUAAGGCGAGGCCGAAAGGCGUAGUCGAUGGGAAACAGGUUAAUAUUCCUGUACUUGGUGUUACUGCGAAGGGGGGACGGAGAAGGCUAUGUUAGCCGGGCGACGGUUGUCCCGGUUUAAGCAUGUAGGCUGGUUGUCCAGGCAAAUCCGGAUAAUCAAGGCUGAGGUGUGAUGACGAGGCACUACGGUGCUGAAGUAACAAAUGCCCUGCUUCCAGGAAAAGCCUCUAAGCAUCAGGUAACAUCAAAUCGUACCCCAAACCGACACAGGUGGUCAGGUAGAGAAUACCAAGGCGCUUGAGAGAACUCGGGUGAAGGAACUAGGCAAAAUGGUGCCGUAACUUCGGGAGAAGGCACGCUGGUGUGUAGGUGAAGUCCCUGCGGAUGGAGCUGAGACCAGUCGAAGAUACCAGCUGGCUGCAACUGUUUAUUAAAAACACAGCACUGUGCAAACACGAAAGUGGACGUAUACGGUGUGACGCCUGCCCGGUGCCGGAAGGUUAAUUGAUGGGGUUAUCCGUAAGGAGAAGCUCUUGAUCGAAGCCCCGGUAAACGGCGGCCGUAACUAUAACGGUCCUAAGGUAGCGAAAUUCCUUGUCGGGUAAGUUCCGACCUGCACGAAUGGCGUAAUGAUGGCCAGGCUGUCUCCACCCGAGACUCAGUGAAAUUGAACUCGCUGUGAAGAUGCAGUGUACCCGCGGCAAGACGGAAAGACCCCGUGAACCUUUACUAUAGCUUGACACUGAACAUUGAGCCUUGAUGUGUAGGAUAGGUGGGAGGCUUUGAAGCGUGGACGCCAGUCUGCGUGGAGCCAACCUUGAAAUACCACCCUUUAAUGUUUGAUGUUCUAACGUUGGCCCCUGACCGGGGUUGCGGACAGUGUCUGGUGGGUAGUUUGACUGGGGCGGUCUCCUCCUAAAGCGUAACGGAGGAGCACGAAGGUUAGCUAAUCCUGGUCGGACAUCAGGAGGUUAGUGCAAUGGCAUAAGCUAGCUUGACUGCGAGCGUGACGGCGCGAGCAGGUGCGAAAGCAGGUCAUAGUGAUCCGGUGGUUCUGAAUGGAAGGGCCAUCGCUCAACGGAUAAAAGGUACUCCGGGGAUAACAGGCUGAUACCGCCCAAGAGUUCAUAUCGACGGCGGUGUUUGGCACCUCGAUGUCGGCUCAUCACAUCCUGGGGCUGAAGUAGGUCCCAAGGGUAUGGCUGUUCGCCAUUUAAAGUGGUACGCGAGCUGGGUUUAGAACGUCGUGAGACAGUUCGGUCCCUAUCUGCCGUGGGCGCUGGAGAAUUGAGGGGGGCUGCUCCUAGUACGAGAGGACCGGAGUGGACGCAUCACUGGUGUUCGGGUUGUCAUGCCAAUGGCACUGCCCGGUAGCUAAAUGCGGAAGAGAUAAGUGCUGAAAGCAUCUAAGCACGAAACUUGCCCCGAGAUGAGUUCUCCCUGAGACUUUAAGUCUCCUGAAGGAACGUUGAAGACGACGACGUUGAUAGGCCGGGUGUGUAAGCGCAGCGAUGCGUUGAGCUAACCGGUACUAAUGAACCGUGAGGCUUAACCUU